ACGCAAACCUUCAUCUUACCUUUAUAUAAGCCCUGUAUGUACAGUUAUUAAUAUGCAAGCUCAUCUUUUUCACUCUGCAACUAAAUCCACAGUGUUGUAACAGUGUUUAUCUUUUCACUAUGUUUUGGGAAUCAUUUGAACUUUUAUUAUUUAAGGCAACAUUUUAAACUCUGUUAAACUUUGGAGAACAGAGAAGACCCCAGUACAAACACCACCCACCAUGUUCUCUACAUUUCUAUUGCUCCUGCUGACAGCUGCUUCCUAUGUGCAUGGUGAGGAACUGACUCAGCCUGCUUUCAUGACAGUCCAGCCAGGACAGAGUCUCUCCAUCAACUGCAAGGUCUCAUAUUCAGUUACGAGCUAUUAUACAGUUUGGAUCCGACAACCUGCAGGAAAAACUCUGGAGUGGAUUGGACGCAUUUUUACCAAUGGUGGUACAGAUUACAGUGACAAACUGAAAAAUAAGUUCAGCAUCUCCAGAGACACGUCUACUAACACAAUAACAAUUCAAGGACAGAACAUGCAGACUGAAGACACAGCUGUGUAUUACUGCGCUCGAGACCCCACAGUGAUACACAUCACCAACAUCCCUGUACAAAAACAUCCUGUACAGAAAACUGUUUAUCAGCAAAAGCAGAAUAAGUGAACAGGACUUUUAUUCUAUAAGUGUAAAAACUAA